rnacentral:rRNA from 1 species
CAGCUAGUUGGCGGGGUAAAGGCCCACCAAGGCUACGAUGGGUAGCUGGUCUGAGAGGAUGAUCAGCCACACUGGGACUGAGACACGGCCCAGACUCCUACGGGAGGCAGCAGUGGGGAAUCUUGCGCAAUGGGCGAAAGCCUGACGCAGCAACGCCGCGUGCGGGAGGAAGGCCUUCGGGUUGUAAACCGCUUUCAGGGGAGACGAAGCUUCCAGGGUGAAUAGCUCUGUGGAGUGACGGUAUCUUCAGAAGAAGUCCCGGCUAACUACGUGCCAGCAGCCGCGGUGAUACGUAGGGGACAAGCGUUGUCCGGAAUUAUUGGGCGUAAAGCGCGUGUAGGCGGCCAAGUAAGUCUUACGUGAAAUCCUGAGGCUCAACCUCAGGCCUGCGCGGGAUACUGCUUGGCUAGAGUCCGGAAGAGGAGAGUGGAAUUCCUGGUGUAGCGGUGGAAUGCGCAGAUAUCAGGAGGAA